GGCAGGUUCGCUUAAAUUAAAGCACCUAGGUUGUAUCUAGGAGAUGUAGGUUAAAAUCCUACACUUGCCU
rnacentral:tRNA from 1 species